GGGGUUGUGGCUCAGUGGUAGAGCAUUUGCCUAGCAUGUAUGAGGCCCCGGGUUCAAUUCUCAGCACCA
rnacentral:tRNA from 1 species